UGGGGAAUUUUGGACAAUGGGGGAAACCCUGAUCCAGCCAUCCCGCGUGUGCGAUGAAGGCCUUCGGGUUGUAAAGCACUUUUGGCAGGAAAGAAACGUCGCGGGUUAAUACCCCGCGAAACUGACGGUACCUGCAGAAUAAGCACCGGCUAACUACGUGCCAGCAGCCGCGGUAAUACGUAGGGUGCAAGCGUUAAUCGGAAUUACUGGGCGUAAAGCGUGCGCAGGCGGUUCGGAAAGAAAGAUGUGAAAUCCCAGAGCUUAACUUUGGAACUGCAUUUUUAACUACCGGGCUAGAGUGUGUCAGAGGGAGGUGGAAUUCCGCGUGUAGCAGUGAAAUGCGUAGAUAUGCGGAGGAACACCGAUGGCGAAGGCAGCCUCCUGGGAUAACACUGACGCUCAUGCGCGAAAGCGUGGGGAGCAAACAGGAUUAGAUACCCUGGUAGUCCACGCCCUAAACGAUGUCAACUAGCUGUUGGGGCCUUCGGGCCUUGGUAGCGCAGCUAACGCGUGAAGUUGACCGCCUGGGGAGUACGGUCGCAAGAUUAAAACUUAAAGGAAUUGACGGGGUCAUAGCUGUUU
rnacentral:rRNA from 1 species